rnacentral:rRNA from 1 species
GAUGAACGCUGGCUACAGGCUUAACACAUGCAAGUCGAGGGGAAACGGCAUUGAGUGCUUGCACUGAAUGGACGUCGACCGGCGCACGGGUGAGUAACGCGUAUCCAACCUUCCCGUUACUGCGGGAUAACCUGCCGAAAGGCAGACUAAUACCGCAUGUUCUUCGAUGACGGCAUCAGAUUCGAAGCAAAGAUCCGUCGGUAACGGAGGGGGAUGCGUCUGAUUAGCUAGUUGGCGGGGCGACGGCCCACCAAGGCGACGAUCAGUAGGGGUUCUGAGAGGAAGGUCCCCCACAUUGGAACUGAGACACGGUCCAAACUCCUACGGGAGGCAGCAGUGAGGAAUAUUGGUCAAUGGGCGGAAGCCUGAACCAGCCAAGUAGCGUGCAGGAUGACGGCCCUACGGGUUGUAAACUGCUUUUAUGCGGAGAUAAAGUGAGGGACGCGUCCCUUUUUGCAGGUACCGCAUGAAUAAGGACCGGCUAAUUCCGUG